rnacentral:rRNA from 1 species
ACGGGUGAGUAAUGUCUGGGAAACUGCCUGAUGGAGGGGGAUAACUACUGGAAACGGUAGCUAAUACCGCAUGAUGUCGCAAGACCAAAGUGGGGGACCUUCGGGCCUCACGCCAUCGGAUGUGCCCAGAUGGGAUUAGCUAGCAGGUGGGGUAAUGGCUCACCUAGGCGACGAUCCCUAGCUGGUCUGAGAGGAUGACCAGCCACACUGGAACUGAGACACGGUCCAGACUCCUACGGGAGGCAGCAGUGGGGAAUAUUGCACAAUGGGCGCAAGCCUGAUGCAGCCAUGCCGCGUGUGUGAAGAAGGCCUUAGGGUUGUAAAGCACUUUCAGCGAGGAGGAAGGCGUUGUAGUUAAUAACUGCAACGAUUGACGUUACUCGCAGAAGAAGCACCGGCUAACUCCGUGCCAGCAGCCGCGGUAAUACGGAGGGUGCAAGCGUUAAUCGGAAUUACUGGGCGUAAAGCGCACGCAGGCGGUUUGUUAAGUCAGAUGUGAAAUCCCCGAGCUUAACUUGGGAACUGCAUUUGAAACUGGCAAGCUAGAGUCUUGUAGAGGGGGGUAGAAUUCCAGGUGU